rnacentral:rRNA from 1 species
GCUCCAAUAGCGUAUACUAAAGUUGUUGCAGUUAAAAAGCUCGUAGUUGAAUUUCUGGUUUCGGAGCACGGUCUGCUCCACAGUGGGUUAGUACCAGUGGGCCGGAGCCAUCCUCGAGGAGAGCGUAUCUGUGAUUGAGUUCAUGGGGUACGUGCGCCUCGUCAUUUACUGUGAGCAAAAUAGAGUGUUCAAAGCAGCUU